CUCAAUGAGCUGGGAGGACGCGGUCACCGCUGGUGCGGCGCUCUGGGCCCGGUGAUUGGCGCCUUCCCCGGCACAGCCUUGCACCAGUGCCUCCAAAUUGGCUGAACCUGCUGAGAGUCGGCGGGAGAGAGCCUGGGGAAUGCAUUUCUGAGGCAUACACAACAGAAGAAGGUGUUUGGGGGCCCAGGACAAACCGGCAGUUGACAGGCACAUAGAGGCUUUUCAGAAACAAGUCUUGUCGGAAAUGUGACUUUUUCUGGGGAAAAUUUGACUAGAAGCGAGAACAAGAAGAACUGUUUACUGGGAAUUCUCUCUAUGGGAAAGUCAUGGGGGUAUCGACUGUAGAUUGGCAGACGACAGAGGGCCUCUUUGAGGGGGUGACAGAUAGCUGAGGAUGCCUGACCAGGGGCUGACAUCUCUGCACACAUCCUGGUAGAAAGGUUUCCAGGCUGAGCAAGGAGCCAGUGAGAGCCAUGAAGACAGCACGGAGGAAGAUGUGUCAAUAAAUCAGAAACUGAUAUUUCAGACAAGGCUGGUUAGAAGAGUAUGAGGAACCUUUGGCCCUUUCCUUCACCGUAAGCAGUGACAUGAACACCACCACCCCAGAUGAGUAUCAGUUUACUUACCAAGGCUCCUUCAAGCUCUUGGCAGGCAAGACCAUGGACCCAGGAGGGUAUGUAACUGUGUAUUGUCAGCGACGCUGCAUGGCUACAUUUCGGUAUUUAAUGAGGCAUUGAUCUUGCUGGAGAUUUUUGAAAGUCUGGUCAGGUGGCCCAUUGGAAGGAGACCUGAGCUUGGUUCUCUGUGCCUGAGUCGUCAGCUGUCUAUGCUACAGGAACAGCCUCAGCUGUGGAAAUGCCACGACUUCUUUCCCCGUUGGCCAUGCAGCAGGAUAUACUUUAUUCAGCUGGGUGCUGAAAAACAAUCUUGGAAAUUAGGAAACUGAAUGAGGCCUCAUUUCACACUCAGAAUGUGGGUUGCAAUAGUCACUUCCUCUGCUGCUGGGAAAGAAAGAAUUAUACUACCUUUUGAAUUUUGGAUUAAAAAGAGAGGUGUUGGCUUGUCAAACUACCGUGUAUUCCUCAAGACAUAUUUUUGUAGCUUUAUAAAAAUUCAAUAUAUAUUUCUAAAUUUAAAUGUAUUUUGUUGCAACCUGGCCCUUGGACAAAAUGAGGCAUUGGCAGCUGAUGUUUAUGGCUUUCCACAGAACCUUCCAGAUAAAAUUUACACAGCAUUUUACUGCAGCUAUUUCACAUAAAGCAGAGGAUUUUGCCACAAAACUGAAAGAAAAAAGAAACUGCAUUCUUAAAUUUUUUAUAAAUCAAAAGGUAUCAAAAUAUCCACCUAAAAGAUAAAGGAGAUGAGAAACCCAUCUGUGAUGGAAAGAAAGCCUAUUUCAGCUUUGCCUUUUCUUUAAGUUCUUUGUUCCAUAUCUGGAAUGCAAUCGGAAUUUAAUCUUUCCUGGGAUUCCUCCUGGAUGUGGGGAGAAGAGAAAAGCUGAAAAUCUGAAAUCUGCCUGUGUUGGGCUGCAUGUCUUCGGACGCCAGCGGAAGGAUCACACUGCACAGAGUGCUGUGCUUGCAGAAGCCCAGCUUCUCAACCUCCAUCGCUUUAUGAAUUGAUUCACCGGAAAGGUAACUGGCCAUUUCUACAAGGGGAAAUUAACCAACUAAACGUGACAUUGGAUUGUUCCCAGAUUCUUUAUUAAUGAUGCUUCUGCAUCGCUUUACCUUGUCAAAUACAAGUUAUGGCAGAUAUUCUUCUGAGAAUGAUCUCCUAAGGCAUGGCUUCCUCUUUUCAUCUCUAUCUGGACGCUGUCCCAUCUAUAGGGUCGCAUUUCCGAUUAGAAAUGUUGCUGAAGAUCCCCUUAAAAUAACAAAUAUGUGUGACAUAAUUAUAUAUGCUUUAUAUAUUUUACAUAUACACAUGUACACUUGUGUAAGAAACUUAUUAGUUUUGGUUAAAUAGCAUUUUAUAAAUGCUGUUUCAUAUGACACAUUGCAAAUGCUUCCCGUGAUACUGUAUUAUCUUCAAGUCACGGUUCUGAUGGUGAUUUGAUACCCUAUUUAUAGUAUGUCUGAACCAUAUUUAUUUAAUCCCUUUAAUGAUGGAGAUGCAGGUUGCUUUCAAAGUUUUCUUGCUGUCAUAAAUAAUGGUUACCACGAACAUCUUGGCACAUAUAUCUCUUUCCAAAAUGAUUAUUUCCAUAGAAGUUCUUAGAUGAUGAAUUAUAAAUACACACUUU